CACGUAGGGCGCAAGCGUUGUCCGGAAUUAUUGGGCGUAAAGAGCUCGUAGGCGGUCUGUUGCGUCCGCUGUGAAAACUCGGGGCUUAACCCCGAGCCUGCAGUGGAUACGGGCAGACUAGAGGUAGGUAGGGGAGAAUGGAAUUCCCGGUGUAGCGGUGAAAUGCGCAGAUAUUGGGAAGAACACCGGUGGCGAAGGCGGCUCACUGGCCCGUAACUGACGCUCAUGCACGACAGCGUGGGGAUCAAACAGG
rnacentral:rRNA from 1 species